rnacentral:miRNA from 1 species
AGGGAAACCAACACUCCUGGUUCGCCUGGGACUGAGGCAUUUCCUGGGAUGUGGGCCUUUAGUAAUAAAACUGGGCCAG